rnacentral:lncRNA from 1 species
AUGCAAACACAUAAUACAUUUCCAGGAUCUCUAGGCCAUAGUAAAUUUAUUUACAUUUAAAAAAUAGGAAUGAAAAUGCCUUCUGAAAACUUUGCAAUGGGAAUCUUUUUCUUCUGCCACAUUAUAGUGGGAAUGGUUGUUAAUUCUUCAUUACUAUUUUAUUAUGUCAUUUUGAUAUUCACUGAAAAGCAUUUAAUGCCCAGAGACAUAAUUAAAGAGCUCUUGAUAUUUUGCCAACUGCUUGUCUAUCAUCUUAAGAGGCAUCCUAUGGAUAAUGUUAUCUUUGUGAUUUAAGGAUUUACUGAAUGACAUUGGGUAUAAAUUGAUUGUAUAUAUUUAUUGAAUAACAAAGGCGAUGUCCCUUUUUGGAAUAUGCCUAUUGAGUUUCUUUGAAUCAAUCACAAUCAGUCCCAGAAACUCCAGGCAGAUGAAACUUAAAUAGAGCCGCCAAGUACAUUGUUCCUUUCUCUUCUGUCACUUGGCUUGUACACCUUCUUUUAAGCAUCUUGAUUCCAACAAGAGUGCCAGAACCCAAUUACAAGAAAAAUGCAACAAACAGGUUGAAUUAUGCAUACUGCUCACUGUUUGCUCCAAGCAAUGUGACCAUUGCACUGUAUAUGUUCUUACUGUGUGUCUCUGAUGGACUGUGUCUGUGUCUCAUGGCCUGCUCCAGUGUAUCCAUUGUUAGUAUCCUCUGCAUACAUAAGAGACAAGUCAAGCAUAUCCACAGUGCUCAGCACUUUCUCAAAGUCUCACCUGAAGACAGAGCCACGAAGACUAUCCUCAUCCUGCUGUGUGUAUUUUCCAUCUCUUACUCAUUCUCUUCCAUUCUGGCUGUCUUUAAAGGGCCUGCUCCAAAUAUCUAGUGAUAUGGAGAGUAAAUGUAUUUAUAUUUAAGGAACUAUGUUUUCCCAUAUUUUGCCCCUUUGUUCUCAUCACCAAUAUGAAGUCUAGCUUUAGCCUGU